rnacentral:ncRNA from 2 species
AUAAUAAGUCUUUUCCGCGUUCUGACCGCUAAAAGCGACUGCUCUAAGCCAGUUCAUGCUGUCAGAACCUGAGUCUGAACCUUACAGACUCACAGGGUUAUGAUUGGAAACGAUAUAACCUUCACUUUUGAGAAGGAAAAGCUGCGGCAGAAGA